GAUAUGGCUCAGGAUGAACGCUAGCGGCAGGCUUAACACAUGCGAAGUCGAGGGGCAGCGCGAGGUAGCAAUACUUGGCGGCGACCGGCGAAAGGGUGCGUAACGCGUGAGCAACUUGCCCGUAAUCUAGGGGACAUAACGCGGUGGAAACGCCGUCUAAUUUCCCAUAACAACAGAGGCCGCAUGACCUUUGUUUGAAAGAUCCGUCGGAUACGGAUGGGCUCGCGAGACAUUAGCUAGUCGGCGUGGUAACGGCACACCGAGGCGACGAUGUCUAGGGGUUCUGAGAGGAAGGUCCCCCACACUGGAACUGAGACACGGUCCAGACUCCUACGGGAGGCAGCAGUGAGGGAUAUUGGUCAAUGGGCGACAAGCCUGAACCAGCCAUGCCGCGUGAAAAGGAAUAAGGCCCUAUGGGUCGUAAACUUCUUUUGUGGUGGAGCAAUAAGGUGUACGUGUACACCGAUGAGAGUACAUCACGAAUAAGCAUCGGCUAACUCCGUGCCAGCCGCCGC
rnacentral:rRNA from 1 species